rnacentral:rRNA from 1 species
GACGGAGGGGGCAAGCGUUGCUCGGAAUCACUGGGCGUAAAGGGCGCGUAGGCGGGGAGGUAAGUCGGGUGUGAAAUCCCUCGGCCCAACCGACGAACUGCGCCCGAGACUGCUUCUCUUGAGUCCCGGAGAGGAAGAUGGAAUUCCCGGUGUAGCGGUGAAAUGUGUAGAGAUCGGGAGGAACACCGGUGGCGAAGGCGGCAUCCUGGACCGGUAUUGACGCUGAGGAGCGAAAGCCAGGGGAGCAAACGGG